UACGGGGGAGCAAGCGUUGUUCGGAUUUACUGGGCGUAAAGGGCGCGUAGGCGGUCAGCACAAGUCAGUUGUGAAAUCUCCGGGCUUAACUCGGAAAGGUCAACUGAUACUGUGCGACUAGAGUGCAGAAGGGCAACUGGAAUUCUCGGUGUAGCGGUGAAAUGCGUAGAUAUCGAGAGGAACACCAGUGGCGAAGGCGAGUCUCUGGACGACUCCUGACACUGAGGCACGAAAGCUGGGGAGCAAACAGG
rnacentral:rRNA from 1 species